UGCGCUCUCGCUCUCGCUCGUGCUGUCUCGCUCUCUCAAAUCAUUUCAAUUUAUUCAAGUUAAGGGCUUUAUUGGCAUGGGAAGCAUAUGUAGACAUUGCCAAAGCAAGUAAACUAGAUAAUAAACAAAAGUGAAAUAAACAAUACAAUUGAACAGUAAACACUCACAGAAGUUCCAAAAGAAUAAAGACAUUUUAAAUGUAAUUUAUUUGCAAAUAGUUAAAGUACAAAAGGGAAAAUAAGUCCACCUACUUAUGUGCAUCCACACACACAUGCUAUAUGGUGUUGUCUCUGUGUGUGAGUAUGACACACCAGCAUGUAGCCUGCACUGGUAAUGACUGGUGACGCACUCAACUGGAGCAGCGUCCCGCAGAGGAGGGGUUUGUGUGGGAACAGUGUAAGAGGUGAUGAGUCCAUGUGAACAGUAAGAGGUGAUGAGUCCAUGUGAACAGUGAGAGGUGAUGAGUCCAUGUGAACAGUAAGAGGUGAUGAGUCCAUGUGAACAGUAAGAGGUGAUGAGUCCAUGUGAACAGUAAGAGGUGAUGAGUCCAUGUGAACAGUGUAAGAUGUGAUGAGUCCAUGUGAACAGUAAGAGGUGAUGAGUCCAUGUGAACAGUAAGAGGUGAUGAGUCCAUGUGAACAGUAUAAGAGGUGAUGAGUCCAUGUGAACAGUAUAAGAGGUGAUGAGUCCAUGUGAACAGUAUAAGAGGUGAUGAGUCCAUGUGAACAGUAAGAGGUGAUGAGUCCAUGUGAACAGUAAGAGGUGAUGAGUCCAUGUGAACAGUAAGAGGUGAUGAGUCCAUGUGAACAGUGUAAGAGGUGAUGAGUCCAUGUGAUGAGUCCAUGUGAACAGUAAGAGGUGAUGAGUCCAUGUGAACAGUAAGAGGUGAUGAGUCCAUGUGAACAGUAUAAGAGGUGAUGAGUCCAUGUGAACAGUAAGAGGUGAUGAGUCCAUGUGAACAGUAAGAGGUGAUGAGUCCAUGUGAACAGUAAGAGGUGAUGAGUCCAUGUGAACAGUAAGAGGUGAUGAGUCCAUGUGAACAGUAAGAGGUGAUGAGUCCAUGUGAACAGUGUAAGAGGUGAUGAGUCCAUGUGAACAGUAAGAGGUGAUGAGUCCAUGUGAACAGUGUAAGAGGUGAUGAGUCCAUGUGAUGAGUCCAUGUGAACAGUAAGAGGUGAUGAGUCCAUGUGAACAGUAAGAGGUGAUGAGUCCAUGUGAUGAGUCCAUGUGAACAGUAAGAGGUGAUGAGUCCAUGUGAACAGUAAGAGGUGAUGAGUCCAUGUGAACAGUAAGAGGUGAUGAGUCCAUGUGAACAGCAAUCUACUACCAGCCUCUUAAAUUGCAGCCCAAAUGAAUGCUUCAGAAUUCAAGUAAUAGACACAUCUCAGCAUCAUCUGUUCAGAGGAGACUGCGUGAAUCAGGCCUUCAUGGUCGAAUUGCUGCAAAGA